AAACCGAGCCCGUUGGCCUGGUACGGUGGCUGACGUCUGCAAUCCCAGCACCUUGGAAGGCUGAGGGAGGAAGAUCACUUCAGCCCAGGAGUUCGAAAACAGCCUGGGCAACAUGGCGAAACUCCCCUCUCUACAAAAAAUAAAAAAUUAGCCGGGCGAGGUGGUGCAUGCCUGUGGUUCCAGCUACUCAGGAGGUUGAGGUGGGAGGAUCCCUUGAGCCCAGGAGAUUGAGGCUGUAGUGAGCCAUGAUCACACCAUUCCAUUGCAUUCCAGCCCUGGCAACAGAGCAAGACCUUAUCUCAGGGGGAGAGUGAGAGAGAGAGGAUGAAGAAGAGAGAGAGGAGGUAGAGAGAGAGAAAGGAAAAAAAACCCAAACCCAUCAAUUACAGAGACACAGGGAAGGCCUAGCCAUUAGUGAGUUCUUGCUCCUUUCUUGCACUCUGCCUAGCAUGCUCACGACAACACUGAGUGGUGAGAGACUUCACCAAAGUCACAGGAGAGAAAGAACACUGGCUCCCUGCCUACCCACUAGUGGUUAAGCACAUGGACUAUGAGCCCAAACCACCACGUGGGGUCAAAUGUAGGCCCCCAGCCGGGCGCAGUGGCUCAGGCCUGUAAUCCCAGCACUAUGGGAGGCCGAGGUGGGCGGAUCACAAGCUCAGGAGAUCGAGACCAUCCUGGCCAAUAUGGUGAAACCCUGUCUCUACUAAAAAUACAAAAAUUAGCUGGGUGUGGCAGCGAGUGCCUGUAAUCCCAGCUAGUGGGGGGAGGCCGAGGCAGGAGAAUCGCUUGAAUCCGGGAGGCGGAGGUUGCAGUGAGGUGAGAUCGCGCCACUGGACUCCAGCCUGGCGACAGAGCUAGAUUCAGUCUCAAAAAAAAAAAAAAAAAAAAAAAAAAAAAAAAAAAAAAGUAGGCCCCCACCAAUUUCGUGUGACUCUAGGAAAGUUUCUUAACUUCAUUGUGCCUCAGUCUCCUCGUCUGUUAAGAUAAUUAUGGUAUUCACAAUGGAGGCUUGCUAUAGGGAUUAACUGAUUUAUGUAUAAAGCACUGAGGCGGUGGCUAGCACAUGGGAAACAUUCCAAGGCAGUCGCAGUUCUUUGAUGUCUCAGCUUUCAGUUUGUGAAUCAACUGCUACCAUGCCUGUCAUCUGUUCCAGAACCUCCAAUGACUCCCUUUGACUACAUCAGAGACUCUAAAGUGUUGUGUGUAUGUCUUUGGGGGGUGGACCACAGGG
rnacentral:lncRNA from 1 species